AUUGUUUCUCAUAUUUUUUUAUAUUUUUGUUUAACAUUUAGAUUAAAACAUGUCUUUAUUAAUAAGAACUGAUGUUACGAGUGUGAAAUUAUUUGAUAACUUCAUUCUAGCAGGAUUAGGAAGUUACAUGCACGUUUAUGAAAAAAAUUCAAGCAAAUUAAUACAACGGUUACACGUCUUAAAAGGUCAAAAAAUAUACGGGUUCGCACCUUUGAAAAAAGAAUCCAAGAUUUUGGUUUAUGGCGGGAAGCAAUUCACUAUAAUAGCAGUAAAUAAGGAAGAUAUCAAGUUUACUUGCUGUUUCACAUCCAUUAUUUGUGAUGAUUGGUUGCAUUCAGGAAUAUGGACUUCUAAUGACAAAAUUUCACUUUUGACUGCUCAUAAUGUGGUUCAAAUAUGGAACACAAAAACACGAUCGCUAGAAACUCAAUACAAGAACAAAAAUAACUCCAUACUAUACAGUGGUUUACUGUUACCACUAAAUGAUGGAGUCCUGGUGUUCAGUGGAACUGUGUUCUCAGAAGUUCUUAUCAGUUAUCAGGAUGAGGAACCGAUGCAUUAUUUGAGGGGACACAAGGGAGUUAUAUUCUCCAUAAGCUGUGAUCCCCAGAGAGGAAUCUUAGUGACCACAUCAGAUGACAGAUCAGUUCACAUCUGGUCCAUAAAAAACAAAACUACCCACAGUUUUGAUACAAAAGCAUUCUGGGAAAAUGUACACAUUCAUCCGUUACAUGAAUUAUAUGGUCAUGGCGCUAGAGUGAUGCGAAAUUGUAUAGUAAAUGAUAUUGUUAUAUCUGUAGGUGAAGAUUCAGCUAUAUGCUAUUGGGAUUUAGAAGGUAAUUUGGUUAAGAAAUCCCCAGCUCAUGCUAACGCGUGUAUUUGGUCGUUAGAUGCAAAUGAAGAGCACCUAGUUACAGGAGGAGCUGAUAGUGCCGUUAUAUUACACCCACUUUCUAUUUUAAGCGAACAUAACAAAAACAGUGAUACUCUUAAUGUAGAUAUUGACACGCCAAAGAAAAUAGUGUUCACUGCAAGAAGAAACGUAAUAGCCAUGAACGAAAAUAAUGAUUUGGUUUAUUAUGACGUCGAUUCAAAAUCUUCAGCGGCCUUCAAACUAAAACACGAAUCUACGUAUAAAUUGAUCAGUGUAUCGUCGUGUAGGCAAUUGAUAGCUGUCGCAGAUAUGUCGGGGAAAUUUGAUGUUUUUAUCGAAAAUUGCAAAGGACCAUCAAUGAUUAGUAAUAUCAUCGAUACAAAGUUGGAUAUCAGCAAAAUUCUUUCUAUGCACUGGAUAUUAAAUAGACAUGUAGUGUUUUGUGCUGAUUUGGGUAAAAUUACAGUUCUUACGACGAGUGGUGACAAAUUAGACGUGUUCGCUGAAUUUGAGUUGCCAUUCUGCAAAGAGCGUUGGAUUACGUCUUGCGCUCUUAGUUCUGACAAUCUUUUUGUUGGAGAUCGUUUAGGAAAUAUACACGUAUUUGUUCGAGGACAAAAAUCUCCUGUAAGAACUUUUAAACGCGUGCAUGGGAGAUAUGGUCCGACAUCGAUAAAUGUACGACAAAAUGAAUUUAUCAGUACUGGCCGAGAUGGGACUAUGAAAUAUUUCAAUUUAAGUGCCUUAUCGCAUAAUUACAAUAGAGAUUUAGAUUUCCAAUGGGUUGAAAAAUUUGUUGAUUCGAAUGAUAGAUAUAUUUGUGGGUUCCAAGAACGUAUUUUUGUUGUUUAUGACGUGAAAAAUAAUGUUAGAGCGUUAGAAGUAAGUUGUGGUGGAGGCCAUAGAUCCUGGGAUGUUUUACGUUAUAUUGAAAAAGAGGGAGAAAAUUUUGAUGAAUUUAUUAGCUUCAUCUAUAUAAAAGAAGCGAACAUUCACUUAGAGAGGUUUAAUUUAAAGAACAUCGUUUCUAAAAAUAUAGUAAAUGGGACGCAUUCGAAAGAAAUCAAUUGCUUGGUAACCCACAAGUUUGAUGAUACGUUGUUUUAUAUAUCGGGUGGUGAAGAUACUACUCUAAGGGUAUCCAGUUCAAAUCCUGCAUUAGAAUUUAAAGAUGAACUUAUCUUAAAACAUUUAUCAAAUGUGAGGGCAUUAAAAAUUAACAAAUUGGACGAUAGAACUCUGUUGGUUACAUCAGCUGGUGGACGAGCACAGAUUUGCGUAAAUAAAAUCAUUUUUGAUAAAGUAGAUGGAGAAAUAAAAGUCACUACAGAAGAAUUGGUUAAUCAUAUGAUAAAUGGAACAGAUGUACAAAGAAGAUAUAACAAAAUGUUCAGAAACGAGGAAAUAGAUUUUGAUCCAGAAACGAGAAUUAUGGCUUUAGAAAAUUACAGCAAAGAUGACAAUACAUAUGUGAUAUUCGCUGGAUGCUCGGAUGGGAAUUUACGAGUCUUUCAAUUGGAAUUGAAUACUAAAUCGUUUCGUAAAAUAAACGAUAUAUUUUAUCAUUCCACUUGCAUACUAAACAUGCAAGUUGUUGACGUUGGAAAUACGAAAAUUCUUCUAUCAAGUUCAACCGCAAGGGAAAUUUCAUUCUGGAAUACGACACUUGUAGAUAGACCAACAUCUACUUUGCUGACUCACCAAUCCGGUAUAAACGCGAUUUAUGCUAAAGCGUUAUCUGAUACUGAAUUGCUAUUGGCUUCUGGAGGAGACGACAACGCAGUGGAACUGGCCUUCCAAGUGAUGAGUGAUCGUACAAAAGAUAUUUGCUAUUGGUCAAAUUCUAGCAGCCAUUGUUCCCAAGUGACAGGUGUCAUUAUCAUCGACAAUCUGUUGUUGUCAACGUCCAUAGACCAAAGAGUGACGGUGUUUGAGUGGUCGAUAGUCGAAGAUCAGAUUAAAUGCGAUUUUAAGUCGCAAGUUUUCAGCGAUGUCGCGGAUAUCCAGGGCAUGGACCUUGUUGGGAGUGAUGAACAAACAAUCACACUAUGUAUUUAUGGUAAAGGUAUUGAAGUAAUGGAAAUACCUAGACCUAAAAACUAACAAGCUACAAAAUAUAUAAGAAAGAAAGAUGACGAUGUAAGAAGUUCGCCAAUACAGCUCUGAUGUCGAUAAAAGUGACACCCGUGACAGAGCCGGUAUGGCUCGGCGAGGGUCCGCACUGGUCGAAGGAGGACCAAGCGCUAUACUUCGUCAGCAUCUUCGACCAGACCGUGCACAAGUAUGUUCCCAGUACU